rnacentral:tRNA from 1 species
GAGUGUAUAGCUCAGUGGUAGGGUGCAUGCUUAGCAUGCAUGAGGUCCUGGGUUCGAUCCCCAGUACCUCCA